CCUACGGGCGGCUGCAGUGGGGAAUAUUGCACAAUGGGCGCAAGCCUGAUGCAGCCAUGCCGCGUGUGUGAAGAAGGCCUUCGGGUUGUAAAGCACUUUCAGCGGGGAGGAAGGCGGUGAGGUUAAUAACCUCAUCGAUUGACGUUACCCGCAGAAGAAGCACCGGCUAACUCCGUGCCAGCAGCCGCGGUAAUACGGAGGGUGCAAGCGUUAAUCGGAAUUACUGGGCGUAAAGCGCACGCAGGCGGUCUGUCAAGUCGGAUGUGAAAUCCCCGGGUUCAACCUGGGAACUGCAUUCGAAACUGGCAGGCUAGAGUCUUGUAGAGGGGGGUAGAAUUCCAGGUGUAGCGGUGAAAUGCGUAGAGAUCUGGAGGAAUACCGGUGGCGAAGGCGGCCCCCUGGACAAAGACUGACGCUCAGGUGCGAAAGCGUGGGGAGCAAACAGGAUUAGAUACCCCAGUAGUC
rnacentral:rRNA from 1 species